GAGUAACACGUGACUAACCUACCCUCGAGAGGGGAAUAAUGAAGGGAGACCUUGCCUAAAACCGCAUAGUACCUACGGGUCAAAGGAGUAAUCCACUUGACGGAGGAGGUCGCGGCCGAUUAGCUAGUUGGCGGGGUAAUGGCCCACCAAGGCAGUGAUCGGUAUCCGGCCUGAGAGGGCGCACGGACACACUGGAACUGAAACACGGUCCAGACUCCUACGGGAGGCAGCAGUGGGGAAUUUUGCGCAAUGGGGGAAACCCUGACGCAGCAACGCCGCGUGGAGGAUGAAGUCCCUUGGGACGUAAACUCCUUUCGAUCGGGACGAUUAUGACGGUACCGGAAGAAGAAGCCCCGGCUAACUUCGUGCCAGCAGCCGCGGUAAUACGAGGGGGGCAAGCGUUGUUCGGAAUUAUUGGGCGUAAAGGGAGUGUAGGCGGUUUGGUAAGUCUCGUGUGAAAUCUUCAGGCUCAACCUGAAGUCUGCACGAGAAACUGCCGAGCUUGAGUAUGGGAGAGGUGAGUGGAAUUCCUGGUGUAGCGGUGAAAUGCGUAGAUAUCAGGAGGAACACCUGUGGCGAAAGCGGCUCACUGGACCAUAACUGACGCUGAGACUCGAAAGCUAGGGGAGCAAACAGGAUUAGAUACCCUGGUAGUCCUAGCCCUAAACGAUGACUGCUUG
rnacentral:rRNA from 1 species